GUUGAAAGUUGGUCUUUGCUUGUUUCGUCGGAUUUGGUCCAAAUUUUGCCCUAAACUCAGCAAUGGUCUUUGUUUUGUCUGUCUGAUUUGGUUCAAAUAUAGCCCCAAAAUCUAUGUUUAAUAUUAGGUUUUUGUUUGGUCCAUCUGAUUUGGUCCAAAUUUAGGCCAAAAUAAAUGUUGAAAUAACAGUGAAAUUCUGCGUGACUUCUACCGUGCUGUAAUGGGCGCGCGCGCUGAACUGGAGCGGAGGACGUCACCAUGGAAACGAGGCGGCAGCCCAACCGUCAAGCAGCUGAACGCUGACUCUCAAUGUGGUUUUCACUAUUGUUUUUUAGAAAUGGUUUAGUGUCGUCAGAAAAAGUCCGUUAGCAUCUCCACUGUAAGGCUAACUACAAGAGGUUCUUCCAUGCUGAUGGCUGUGCUCUAGAGUCAUAUCUCCUGUCGAAGAACAUUUUUAGACAUUAUGAACCAUGAAAAAGUUUAGCUCCAACCCCAGUUAAGCAGAUCUGGGCAGCUGAUCAAGGAUCACCAGAAACUCUGCAGAACAUUGGUCCUCCAGCCCAGGACUGGACACCAGUGUUAGUGUCUGUCUCAGAAGCUGAAGAAAAGAGGCCACACCUCAGAGGAAAUAAGCGCUUCCUAAGGGUACGGAAAUACCUGGCUGAGAAGAUCAGUGACAUAAACCAGAUAAAACUGUCAGUGGUCUAAGACAGCUACAAUGAAGCCACAAAUGCAGUUCAUAGUUCCUGUAUUUCUAUAAUGCAUUAAUGAAUAACAAUAAUUUUAAAAAAAAUUUAAUGUCAAGGUUUUGUGUUAAUUCCAGCUAUGUUGAGUAUUCUGUGAAUAAUUUUGAUUUUAGGUACAUAUUCUUAAUUCUUUG